UGAAUAUGGGGGGACCAUCCUCCAAGGCUAAAUACUCCUGACUGACCGAUAGUGAACCAGUACCGUGAGGGAAAGGCGAAAAGAACCCCUGUGAGGGGAGUGAAAUAGAACCUGAAACCGUGUACGUACAAGCAGUAGGAGCACCUUCGUGGUGUGACUGCGUACCUUUUGUAUAAUGGGUCAGCGACUUAUAUUCAGUGGCAAGGUUAACCGUAUAGGGGAGCCGUAGCGAAAGCGAGUCUUAACUGGGCGCUCAGUCUCUGGAUAUAGACCCGAAACCGGGUGAUCUAGCCAUGGGCAGGUUGAAGGUUGAGUAACAUCAACUGGAGGACCGAACCGACUAAUGUUGAAAAAUUAGCGGAUGACUUGUGGCUAGGGGUGAAAGGCCAAUCAAACUCGGAGAUAGCUGGUUCUCCCCGAAAGCUAUUUAGGUAGCGCCUCGGACGAAUACUACUGGGGGUAGAGCACUGUUAAGGCUAGGGGGUCAUCCCGACUUACCAACCCUUUGCAAACUCCGAAUACCAGUAAGUACUAUCCGGGAGACACACGGCGGGUGCUAACGUCCGUCGUGGAGAGGGAAACAACCCAGACCGCCAGCUAAGGUCCCAAAGUAUUGCUAAGUGGGAAACGAUGUGGGAAGGCUCAGACAGCUAGGAUGUUGGCUUAGAAGCAGCCAUCAUUUAAAGAAAGCGUAAUAGCUCACUAGUCGAGUCGGCCUGCGCGGAAGAUGUAACGGGGCUAAGCAAUACA
rnacentral:rRNA from 1 species